rnacentral:rRNA from 1 species
GAUCCUGGCUUAGGAUGAACGCUGGCGGCGUGCCUAACACAUGCAAGUCGAGCGAGAUACUGUUGAACAGAGAUCGUCAACGGGAUACAGUGGAAAGCGGCGGACGGGUGAGUAACGCGUAGGCAACCUGCCCCUUACACAGGGAUAGCCAUUGGAAACGAUGAUUAAAACCUGAUGACACCUAAAGAUGACAUCUUCCUUAGGUCAAAGAUUUAUCGGUAAGGGAUGGGCCUGCGUCUGAUUAGAUAGUUGGUGAGGUAACGGCCCACCAAGUCAACGAUCAGUAGCCGACCUGAGAGGGUGAUCGGCCACAUUGGAACUGAGACACGGUCCAAACUCCUACGGGAGGCAGCAGUGGGGAAUAUUGCACAAUGGGGGAAACCCUGAUGCAGCAACGCCGCGUGAAGGAAGAAGGUCUUCGGAUCGUAAACUUCUGUCCUAGAGGAAGAUAAUGACGGUACUCUUGGAGGAAGCCCCGGCUAACUACGUGCCAGCAGCUGC